CACGUAGGCACCAAGCGUUGUCCGGAUUUAUUGGGCGUAAAGAGCUCGUAGGCGGUUCGGUAAGUCGGAUGUGAAAACUUUGGGCUCAACCCAAAGCGUGCAUUCGAUACUGCCGUGACUUGAGUUCGGUAGGGGAGUGGGGAAUUCCUAGUGUAGCGGUGAAAUGCGCAGAUAUUAGGAGGAACACCGGUGGCGAAGGCGCCACUCUGGGCCGAAACUGACGCUGAGGAGCGAAAGCAUGGGGAGCGAACAGG
rnacentral:rRNA from 1 species